rnacentral:lncRNA from 1 species
UCACUUCAUGGCUGGUUUCAGAAAUCAUUUCACUAUUGAAAUGGCUCUAGUUGGGCUUCUCAUAUUGGCUGUCCUAGAUUUCACAGGUCUUUUUCUCUUUCCCUCUUAAUUAGAGCAUGCUUACUGUGUAGUACUAGAUUAGAUUACAAAGUAUAACAAAUGAGAUUUUAGCUUCUUUUUCUCGUUAAUAUUGUUUUGUACAUUCCUAUCUACCUUCCCAAACACGCCAUUAAGUUUAACGACGAUAUAUGUCACGCCUAGCAGCAUAAUCUGCAGAUUAUGAAUUCAAAUAUUACGUGCUUAGUCCUGAUAUUAUUUUGUAUGAGCACUUCUCAAUAAUUUGUGUAAUAAUAGGCUUAUUUUAUGUUCAUUAUGAUACAGUGGCUCAGACAGGGGUUUGUUAUGGAAGGAACGGGAAUGGAUUACCACCUCAAGCAGAAGUCAUCGCGCUAUACAACCAGAAUAACAUCCGAAGAAUGAGAAUCUACGACCCAGAUCAGGCUACUCUUCAGGCACUUGGAGGCUCCAACAUUGAGCUCAUACUAGGCGUCCCAAACCAGGAUGUCCUUCAGAAUCUUGCUGCUAGCCAAAGUAAUGCAGAUACUUGGGUUCAAAACAAUGUAAGAAACUAUCCUAAUGUCAAGUUUAGAUACAUUGCAGUUGGAAACGAAGUGAGUCCCUUGAAAUCGGACACAUCUCAGUAUGUACCGUUUGUCCUCCCUGCCAUGAGAAAUAUUCAAACUGCAAUUUCUGCAGCUGGACUUGGGAACCAGAUUAAGGUUUCUACUUCCAUUGAAACUGGUAUGAUCGAAAAUUCUUAUCCCCCAUCAAAUGGUGUAUUUCAAGCUCCAGUUCGAGAAUAUAUUCAAGGGAUCAUUGACUUCUUGGUAAACAACAAAGCCCCUCUACUUGUCAACAUAUACCCGUAUUUUGCACGCAAAGAUAAUCCACAACAGAUUACUCUCGAGUAUGCUCUUUUUACGUCAGAUGGAAUUACAGUGCCUGAUGGAACGCGUUACCAAAAUCUUUUCUACGCCUUACUAGAUGCCAUGUACGCAGCCCUUGAAAAGUCUGGUGGCUCAACUCUGGAUAUUGUUGUAUCCGAGAGUGGUUGGCCUUCGGAUGGAGGAGGACCAGACACGUCCAUUGAUAACUCAAGGACCUAUAAUACGAAUUUGGUGCAACGUGUAAAGACAGGAAGCCCAAAGAGGCCUGGAAAAGCAAUAGAAACUUACAUUUUUGCUAUGUUUGACGAAGAUCAGAAGAGCCCCGAUUAUGAGAAAUUUUUCGGGCUCUUUCGACCAAACAAACAACCUAAGUACCCGAUCAGCUUUGACUAGUUCUAGAUAUCAAGUGUACCAAUAAGGAGGACAGUGCUCUAGAACUGGGACAUACAAGUUCUAUAUAAGAAUUCCUCCAGUUUAUUUGAUGAGCAAUAAAGAGCAGUAUGAAUAAUAUUUUUUUUCUUUUUCUUUUUCAAUUCUCAAGCCAUACACAAAUCAGAAGAUUGCAGCCAGAGAUUCUAUUGAAAGGAUUUUAACUUCAUAAAUG